CUGCGCUGGAAGCGUCAACUCCUUUUUUGGACGCGCCACGCGUCGUAUGCGCAACGUUUAAGCUAAUAAAAACAACGUAGAUAUCGCUUAAAGCGUUGCAACAAAGCAAUAAAUGCUGCGUAACAGCAAGGUCUAAAAAAAGAACUCUCAAGAAAUACAUUCAAAAUUUAAGCUUUAAACAUUUAAAGCAACAAUUCGACAUAAAACGUAACUUAAUAAGAGUGAUUAAUGACAAAGAAAACAAUAGUAAUUAAUAUUUCCCAUUUAUUAUUCAUACAAUAAUUGAAUAAAUUAUAAAUCAAUAAAACUGAACAAUAAGCCUGAAAAAAGUAAAAAAUGAUACGAACUCUAGGAAUACCUUCUUAAAAAAAACAUGAAUAAGAACAAAACUCAUCCAUAAUUACUCAACAACACUUUAACCAAAAUGACAACAAUUUUUAUGUUAAAUCUACAACGAAAGCACAACAACCAGAAAUCAACACUACAAAUAAUAAAAUAAAAUCAGCAACGAAACCAAAAUAAAAAAAGUUAAAAAUAUACAACAACAAUCGACAACAACACAAUUCAUAAUAACAAAAACCCAAAUUAACAUUAACAAGCAUAAAAAUAAAAUCAGAAAAAACAAAGUCAAAACUGAAUUGCAAACAACUUUAUUAAGACUACAAGUCACAACAAUUAAAAUAACAACAGAAAAGCAUACAAAAAACUAAAGAAAAACAAAGUAAAUUACAACAGCAAUACAACGAUUAGGAAUCACAACAAAAAACAAAAUCACCACAAUAAUAAACAACAACUCCAAAGACAAGCCAAGACACCAACCUAAAACUUUAACAAUAAGAAAUGAAAAUACAAAACUGCUUGCUCUCAAGGUGAGCGAUCAAGCACUCAUGAGAGCAAAAGAGAGAGAGGGAGAGCGAAAUUGAAUUCCUUUUUGCCAAAUUUUUAUACAAAGUUAUAAUUUGCAAAAAUUUUAUACAAAAAAUAAACAAUUUACUGUUGAAAAUAUACAUUUUUUUUGACAAAAUAUAUAUCAUAUGGGCCCAAAAAGUGUAGCUAACGUAAUGCGUAAGGCUAGCCCGCUAUCGUGUAACGUAAGGUUGUCUGAACACGUUUUGUUCGAAACUGGAAUCACACAAGCAGUGUGUGAUGAUUGUUGCACUGCAUUCGCAUUUCAACUGCAGAAGCGAGCAGUUCGAAUCGCGCACAGAAAGCACGACGAUCGCUAAAAUAAACACAGACUAAUGAAAAUAAA